AAUAGAUACCCUGGUAGUCCAUGCCGUAAACGUUGGGAACUAGAUGUAGGGCCUGUUCCACGGGUUCUGUGUCGUAGCUAACGCAUUAAGUUCCCCGCCUGGGGAGUACGGCCGCAAGGCUAAAACUCAAAGGAAUUGACGGGGGCCCGCACAAGCGGCGGAGCAUGCGGAUUAAUUCGAUGCAACGCGAAGAACCUUACCAAGGCUUGACAUAUACGAGAACGGGCCAGAAAUGGUCAACUCUUUGGACACUCGUAUACAGGUGGUGCAUGGUUGUCGUCAGCUCGUGUCGUGAGAUGUUCGGUUAAGUCCGGCAACGAGCGCAACCCUUGUCCUAUGUUGCCAGCACGUGAUGGUGGGAACUCAUGGGAUACUGCCGUGGUCAACACGGAGGAAGGUGGGGAUGACGUCAAAUCAUCAUGCCCCUUAUGUCUUGGGCUUCACGCAUGCUACAAUGGCCGGUACAAAGGGCUGCGAUACCGUAAGGUGGAGCGAAUCCCAAAAAAGCCGGUCUCAGUUCGGAUUGGGUCUGCAACUCCG
rnacentral:rRNA from 1 species